GGAAGUGGAACGCCGUGGAAAUAGGUUGCACCUUGCUAGCCAAGCUAGUUAGUUAGUUAUAGUAGGCCAGGAAAGUCUGGUAAGAGCCGACGAGGAAGAAGUCAAGUGACGCAAUUCAUGUCCUACAGUAAACAUUACCAGUUAACAACAUGCAAAGUGCAUGUAAUAACAUAAAACCUUUGGUAACAAGUGUGACAUGAGCCUUAUUACCAUCGCAAUAUUACCGGUGCAAGAAUACUCCAUAUACAGUAACUCCCAGUUAUACCAGUGAGCUGAGUGAGUACUGCACCUGGUUCCCAUCACACCUCUACAGUUGUGUGCUGGAUUUUAGACGCAAAACUUCAAUCAUCUUGCCUAGACCUUCCGCUCCCUG